rnacentral:rRNA from 1 species
AUUGAACGCUGGCGGCAGGCCUAACACAUGCAAGUCGAGCGAGCGGCGGACGGGUGAGAAAUGCCUGGGAAGUGCCCAGUCGAGGGGGAUAACAGGUGGAAACUACUGCUAAUACCGCAUACGAUUGGAUUGCAGAGGUGGGUUUAGCUAGUUGGUGAGGGAAUGGCUCACCAAGGCGACGAGCCAUAGCUGGUCUGAGAGGAUGAGCAGCCACACUGGAACUGAGACACGGUCCAGACGCCUACGGGAGGCAGCAGUGGGGAAUAUUGCACAAGGGGGGAAACCCUGAUGCAGCCAUGCCGCGUGUGUGAAGAAGGCCUUCGGGUUGUAAAGCACUUUCAGCGAGGAGGCGUUACUCGCAGAAGAAGCACCGGCGAACUCCGUGCCAGCAGCCGCGGUAAUAC